rfam:Schistosoma rodhaini strain Burundi genome assembly, scaffold: SROB_scaffold0000800
AUCUAGCUGACGAGUUCCAAAUAGGACAACGAAACGUGAGUCGUGGAU